rnacentral:rRNA from 1 species
CAUAGCAGUGACACCUAUGAGAAGCCUUUGUGGCCCAGCAAUGGGUAUCUACCGCGACUAUAAACAAGCAUGUGGGUAUUAAAUCGCAAGUCAGUCCUUAACGGACUGGCCACACUUUCGAAUUGCGGGGACACCCUAAAGCCAACUCUACCAACCCAGUCAGGAAAAUUGAUUGGGGGCCUGUGCUAAUCACACGGGGUACGGUAACAAUGAGUUUUGGAUGUUUACAAUGGGUAAUCCGCAGCCAAGUCCCUUCGGUCAGAAAUUUCUGGCCAUGGGAAAGGUUCACAGACUAAGUGGAAGUGGGCUGGCAGAGUCAGCUUAAGAUAUAGUCGGGCUCGAUGGGAAACCAAUGGGAGUCACAAGUGCAUUCUGGUCCAAACCAAUUCCGCAUUUAAUCACCGUUCCGUAGGUGAACCUGCGGAAGGAUCAUUAUCCUAACAAUUUUCUGUUGCCUCCGGGUGAUGGUUAAACCCUUUGUGAACCAAAAAAUCAUUUAGCUUCGGUAGCGUGUGGGUCAGGCUUCUGCUUGAUACCAACUGUCAGCCUGCCGGUAGCAACCAAACCAAACUUUUACAAAUUUUUGUCUGAACAAAUCAUUUUUGAAUGAAAAUUAAAACUUUCAACAACGGAUCUCUUGGUUCUCGCAUCGAUGAAGAACGCAGCGAAACGCGAUAGUUAAUGUGAAUUGCAGAAUUCAGUGAAUCAUCGAGUCUUUGAACGCACAUUGCGCCCCAUGGUAUUCCGUAGGGCAUGUCUGUUUGAGCGUCAUUACAACACCUCGUUAACAAUUAGUUUUGUGCAACGGUCUUGAGCUUUGGUUACCUUUCAUUAGGUGCCUGGCUUUAAAGUUGAACGCUCUGCGGGUCACACUGCCAAACUGUACAUAGUAAAAUUUAUUCUGUAUUGGUUAGAAAGUGAUUGAUUUCGCCUGUGAAACAAACCCCAUUUUUAAGGUUUGACCUCAGAUCAGAUAAGGAUACCCGCUGAACUUAAGCAUAUCAAUAAGCGGAGGAAAAGAAACCAACAGGGAUUGCCUCAGUAACGGCGAGUGAAGCGGCAACAGCUCAAAUUUGAAAUCUCAGGUAUUCUACUUGCGAGUUGUAAUUUGAAGAGGAUGUUUCGGUUGUGACCUAGGCCUAAGUUCCUUGGAACAGGACGUCGUAGAGGGUGAGAAUCCCGUACACGGCUGUAGGUUUACUUCCAUGUGUAACUCCUUCGAAGAGUCGAGUUGUUUGGGAAUGCAGCUCAAAAUGGGUGGUAAAUUUCAUCUAAAGCUAAAUACUGGCGAGAGACCGAUAGCGCACAAGUAGAGUGAUCGAAAGAUGAAAAGCACUUUGAAAAGAGAGUUAAACAGUACGUGAAAUUGUUGAAAGGGAAGCGUUUGCAAUCAGACUUGCUUUCGGUUGAUCAACGUUCCUUUUGGUUCGUGCACUCUGCCGUUCGCAGGCCAGCAUCGGUUAGGACAGUGGGACAAAGACUCAAGGAAUGUGGCUCUCUUCGGGGAGUGUUAUAGCCUUGUGUGUAAUGCCACUUGACCUGACCGAGGUCCGCGCUUUUGCUAGGAUGCUGGCGUAAUGGUUGUAAACGACCCGUCUUGAAACACGGACCAAGGAGUCUAACAUCUAUGCGAGUGUUUGGGUGUCAAACCCAUACGCGUAAUGAAAGUGAACGGAGGUGGGAGUCUUCGGAUGCACCAUCGACCGAUCCUGAUGUCUUCGGAUGGAUUUGAGUAGGAGCAUAGCUGUUGGGACCCGAAAGAUGGUGAACUAUGCCUGAAUAGGGUGAAGCCAGAGGAAACUCUGGUGGAGGCUCGCAGCGGUUCUGACGUGCAAAUCGAUCGUCAAAUUUGGGUAUAGGGGCGAAAGACUAAUCGAC